GCCAAGUCGAAAUGAUAUGAUACGAAAUAUUGUCAUUCUAAAACUGACAAGUUUAGAUGGAAUACAGUACAAAGUUUGCUCUUACUUGUUGCAAGAAGCUGCAACUAUUGACUAACCCAUGUACAUGUGAAUCAGUGUUAAGCUUUUUGACAGAAGCAACGCCCCAGCAAAGAAGUCUCCAGAACAACUCAGGUUAACUUGAUUGAUGAGCUAUGCACAAGAACGUAAAGUGUGAAGAAACUGAAGUGAGUAGUGUAACCAGUUGAAGUCAGAGGGCAAUAGAUCCAUAAACUGCUAGAUUCUUUUACAAGGAAAGGACAUAGGUUCAACUGCUAAGUGAAUGCUGCUCAGGUCCUGCUAUCGUUUCAGGCACAUCUAAAAUAUGUGGAAAU
rnacentral:misc_RNA from 1 species